rnacentral:rRNA from 1 species
AGAGUUUGAUCCUGGCNCAGGAUGAACGCUAGCUACAGGCUUAACACAUGCAAGUCGAGGGGAAACGACAUCGAAAGCUUGCUUUUGAUGGGCGUCGACCGGCGCACGGGUGAGUAACGCGUAUCCAACCUGCCCACCACUUGGGGAUAACCUUGCGAAAGUAAGACUAAUACCCAAUGAUAUCUCUAGAAGACAUCUGAAAGAGAUUAAAGAUUUAUCGGUGAUGGAUGGGGAUGCGUCUGAUUAGCUUGUUGGCGGGGUAACGGCCCACCAAGGCGACGAUCAGUAGGGGUUCUGAGAGGAAGGUCCCCCACAUUGGAACUGAGACACGGUCCAAACACCUACGGGAGGCAGCA